rnacentral:rRNA from 1 species
GACGAACGCUGACAGCAUGCUUAACACAUGCAAGUCGAUGGGGAAGUGGUGCUUGCACCAUGGUAACCAUGGCGGCCGGGUGAGUAACGCGUAAGGAACUUGCCUGAGGGACUGGGAUAACAGCAGGAAACUGCUGAUAAUACCGGAUAAGGUCAUUAAGCUGCAUAGAUUAGCGAUGAAAGGAUACGCCUGCGGAGAGCCUUGCGUCCUAUGAGCUAGUUGGUGGGGUAACGGCCCACCAAGGUGAAGAUAGGUAGCCGGCCUGAGAGAGAGGACGGCCACCAGGAGACGGGGAUACAGCCCUUACUCCUUCCGGAGGCAGGAGUGGGUGAUAAUGAACGAUGGGGGCAACCCUGAUCCAGCAAGUCUGUGUGCACGAGGACGGUUGUCGGAUUGUAAGUUGCUUUCAGCAGGGAAGAAGGAAGUGACGGUACCUGCAGGAGAAGCGACGGCUAAAUACGUG